GACGUAGGAGGCGAGCGUUGUCCGGAUUCAUUGGGCGUAAAGAGCGCGCAGGCGGCUUGGUAAGUCGGAUGUGAAAUCCCGAGGCUCAACCUCGGGUCUGCAUCCGAUACUGCCCGGCUAGAGGUAGGUAGGGGAGAUCGGAAUUCCUGGUGUAGCGGUGAAAUGACGCAGAUAUCAGGAGGAACACCGGUGGCGAAGGCAGGUCUCUGGGCAUUAACUGACGCUGAGGAGCGAAAGCAUGGGGGAGCGAACAGG
rnacentral:rRNA from 1 species